AGAGUUUGAUCAUGGCUCAGAUUGAACGCUGGCGGCAGGCCUAACACAUGCAAGUCGAGCGGUAGCACAGAGAGCUUGCUCUCGGGUGACGAGCGGCGGACGGGUGAGUAAUGUCUGGGAAACUGCCUGAUGGAGGGGGAUAACUACUGGAAACGGUAGCUAAUACCGCAUAACGUCGCAAGACCAAAGUGGGGGACCUUCGGGCCUCAUGCCAUCAGAUGUGCCCAGAUGGGAUUAGCUGGUAGGUGGGGUAACGGCUCACCUAGGCGACGAUCCCUAGCUGGUCUGAGAGGAUGACCAGCCACACUGGAACUGAGACACGGUCCAGACUCCUACGGGAGGCAGCAGUGGGGAAUAUUGCACAAUGGGCGCAAGCCUGAUGCAGCCAUGCCGCGUGUGUGAAGAAGGCCUUCGGGUUGUAAAGCACUUUCAGCGGGGAGGAAGGCGGUGAGGUUAAUAACCUCAUCGAUUGACGUUACCCGCAGAAGAAGCACCGGCUAACUCCGUGCCAGCAGCCGCGGUAAUACGGAGGGUGCAAGCGUUAAUCGGAAUUACUGGGCGUAAAGCGCACGCAGGCGGUCUGUCAAGUCGGAUGUGAAAUCCCCGGGCUCAACCUGGGAACUGCAUUCGAAACUGGCAGGCUAGAGUCUUGUAGAGGGGGGUAGAAUUCCAGGUGUAGCGGUGAAAUGCGUAGAGAUCUGGAGGAAUACCGGUGGCGAAGGCGGCCCCCUGGACAAAGACUGACGCUCAGGUGCGAAAGCGUGGGGAGCAAACAGGAUUAGAUACCCUGGUAGUCCACGCUGUAAACGAUGUCGAUUUGGAGGUUGUGCCCUUGAGGCGUGGCUUCCGGAGCUAACGCGUUAAAUCGACCGCCUGGGGAGUACGGCCGCAAGGUUAAAACUCAAAUGAAUUGACGGGGGCCCGCACAAGCGGUGGAGCAUGUGGUUUAAUUCGAUGCAACGCGAAGAACCUUACCUGGUCUUGACAUCCACAGAACUUUCCAGAGAUGGAUUGGUGCCUUCGGGAACUGUGAGACAGGUGCUGCAUGGCUGUCGUNNNNNNNNNNNNNGAAAUGUUGGGUUAAGUCCCGCAACGAGCGCAACCCUUAUCCUUUGUUGCCAGCGGUCCGGCCGGGAACUCAAAGGAGACUGCCAGUGAUAAACUGGAGGAAGGUGGGGAUGACGUCAAGUCAUCAUGGCCCUUACGACCAGGGCUACACACGUGCUACAAUGGCAUAUACAAAGAGAAGCGACCUCGCGAGAGCAAGCGGACCUCAUAAAGUAUGUCGUAGUCCGGAUUGGAGUCUGCAACUCGACUCCAUGAAGUCGGAAUCGCUAGUAAUCGUAGAUCAGAAUGCUACGGUGAAUACGUUCCCGGGCCUUGUACACACCGCCCGUCACACCAUGGGAGUGGGUUGCAAAAGAAGUAGGUAGCUUAACCUUCGGGAGGGCGCUUACCACUUUGUGAUUCAUGACUGGGGUGAAGUCGUAACAAGGUAACCGUAGGGGAACCUGCGGUUG
rnacentral:rRNA from 1 species